GUCUACGGCCACACCACCCUGAACGCGUCCGAUCUCGUCUGAUCUUGGAAGCUAAGCAGGGUCGGGCCUGGUUAGUACUUGGAUGGGAAAUAUCCAAGAAGAUAUGGACA
rnacentral:rRNA from 1 species